GAAGGUAUAGCUUAGUGGUAGAAUGCCUGCUUAGCAUGCACAGGGUCCUGGGUUCAAUCCCUAGUACCUCCA
rnacentral:tRNA from 1 species